rnacentral:rRNA from 1 species
GCUUUUGAAAGAUGGUUUCGGCUAUCGCUUACAGAUGGGCCCGCGGUGCAUUAGCUAGUUGGUAGGGUAAUGGCCUACCAAGGCAACGAGGCAUAGCCGACCUGAGAGGGUGAUCGGCCACACUGGGACUGAGACACGGCCCAGACUCCUACGGGAGGCAGCAGUAGGGAAUCUUCCGCAAUGGACGAAAGUCUGACGGAGCAACGCCGCGUGUAUG